rnacentral:rRNA from 1 species
AGUGAACGCUGGCGGUAGGCCUAACACAUGCAAGUCGAACGGCAGCACAGUAGAGCUUGCUCUUACGGGUGGCGAGUGGCGGACGGGUGAGGAAUACAUCGGAAUCUACUUUUUCGUGGGGGAUAACGUAGGGAAACUUACGCUAAUACCGCAUACGACCUACGGGUGAAAGCAGGGGAUCUUCGGACCUUGCGCGAUUGAUUGAGCCGAUGUCGGAUUAGCUAGUUGGCGGGGUAAAGGCCCACCAAGGCGACGAUCCGUAGCUGGUCUGAGAGGAUGAUCAGCCACACUGGAACUGAGACACGGUCCAGACUCCUGCGGGAGGCAGCAGUGGGGAAUAUUGGACAAUGGGCGCAAGCGUGAUCCAGCCAUACCGCGUGGGUGAAGAAGGCCUUCGGGUUGUAAAGCCCUUUUGUUGGGAAAGAAAAGCAGCAGGUUAAUACCCCGCUGUUCUGACGGUACCCAAAGAAUAAGCACCGGCUAACUUCGUG